rnacentral:rRNA from 1 species
CCCUUAAAUGUCCGGGGCUGCACGCGCGCUACACUGAAUGAAUCAGCGUGCUAGAAAACCUUGUUUGACAUGGCUAGGUAACCCAUUGAAAAUCAUUCGUGAUUGGGAUCGGGACUUGCAAAUGUGUCCCUUGAACGAGGAAUUCCCAGUAAGUGCGGGUCAUCAGCUCGCGUUGAUUACGUCCCUGCCCUUUGUACACACCGCCCGUCGCUCCUACCGAUCGAAGAGUUAGGUGAAUUGUUUUGAUCGAUAAGAUUUGACUAUGGUCAACUCUCGUUGUGAAAUUCUGUGAAUCUGACUGUUUAGAGGAAGGAAAAGUCGUAACA